CUUAAAAGAGAAAUAUAUAAAGAUGAUAAAUAAAACUUCCUGACUAAUUAAAUUACUCUACUAUUUUUGACUUUUAGCGCCACCUACGAAUUAAUUCACUCAUCGAUCAACCAUGGAACGUCUAAGUACUUCUACUCGACACUAGAUGGAAGUAGUACUCGGAAUUUAUACAUUUUGAGAUUAUUCAAUUCUCUGCCAAAAGAUUAUUUCGUAUCUGACCUUUUAAAAAUAAAUGCAAUAUUUUAUUAACUAUUUUUAAUACUAAAAUAAAUCGAUCGUGUAAACCCGCUUUUAAUCAUAAACAAUAUUUUCUAGAAGUCGGUCCAUGUGCGACAAAAUUAAAAUACGUCCUAGCAUCCCUGACAACAUACGAAACACUGCCUACAUGAUUUAAUCGGAUUGUAGCCGACUUAGUUAAUGUUCCCCAUAGAUGGCGUGUGUAACUAGAAAUAAAAGAAUACAAUGAAAUUUGGCCGUUUUAAGGUUUUAAUAUGCAUUUUAUAUUAAUAUGAUAGUAAGGAUGCAUUUAUCCAAUAAGUAAAUUAAAGUAAUUGAUUCAAUCACGUCAUACCAUAAACGAUUCUAGACGUACAAUGAUAUUUUAAUCAUGGCAGCCCUAAGCUCUGACACUUUUCUUACUUCCGUUCAUUUAAGUUUUUUUUAUUAGUAUUUUCUAUUAACAGCAUUCAUUUUCAAUGCCUAAAACUUGUUAUUAAAUCUCGAAAUUAUUAAUUAAUGUCAUAAAUACCAAAGUUACCUCAACUAUCAGUGUCACAGUGAAUUAUAACCUUAAUAAGCAAAUAAAUGACAACCAUCUAACCGCCAUAUUGUAAAUAAAUAAGCUGUAUGGAGAAAGUUGACAAAGCAUUAUAUCACGACAGAAAUUUUAAUUGUACUGGAAAAGAUCGUCCUCGAGUGUGCUUUUUACGAUUCUCUAAAUAUUCUACCCAUUGCCUAUCGCUAGAGCUGUACAAGACAAACGAAAUAGAAUUUCGGAUUCAAACACGAUCAUGUUCUUCACUUUCGUUAAAUUUUAUAAAUCUUCAAUGAAUCCAGUGCCCUACGAUGACCUAUGACCUAAAGUUGGAACUGUAUAGAAACAAGGAUGUUUAAUUAAUGUGCCUAGUUCCUGUUCGAAUCGAUAUACCGAUUGAAAUGGGCUCAAAUAUGAAAUCUGUUACUCCUAGCAAGUAAACUGACAACUCUAUUGGAAUAGUCCCUGUUGCCUGACUUACAUGAACUGUUAACAAUGAAAAUGUAUUGAAAUUAUGCUGGAGAACCCCGCUUCUUGCUGGAUUUGAUGAAUCUUUACACAACCUUAAAGACAAACAGAGACAACUCUGAUGGCUGCCUAUGUGCCUAUAUAUACACAUACCUAGUGUUUGGUGAUGUUUAAGCCGAGCGGAGCAAAUUUCCGUUUGCUGUUUUCAUGGACUUUUCCAAGUCUCUCGAUAAUCUCCAACAAACAGAAUGGUUUCCUGAUACCUGGCCGUUAGGUCACCUAGCAGUCAGUUAAACUUAAGCCAAGCGAAGGAAAUCGCCAUGGUUAUUUUCAUGAUUCCUGUUUCUCCAUGUCUUACCACAAUUUUCAAUGUUCCGGAGAACUGACAGUGCCCCGCAGAGUCAUUACGUCUAGCCUCAAAAUACACACUAUGGAAUGCUUCUAUUUCUGAAAGGACCACACCUCUCCAGACUCCUGUUCAAUAAUUUACUGCCACUUCAAAGUUCCUGUCCCACGGCUCUAUUUCUAGAACCCUGCACCCACAACAGCAGCGGUCCACAUUGAAUACCACUUAUUGGGAAAGUGACACUCAAGAUCUUCUUUUAUGUUAGGUAUCAAGGCGCAAGAAGAUGAAAUUAUAAUUGAUUAUUUUGUGAUGACACGUCUUAAAUAUGAAAUGAAUCCUCUAACAACGGCGAUAAGAAAACGAGUAAAGAAGACUGAUAUACUUAUUAUGAAGAAAAUAACUAUAAGGAUUUAUUUACUAAGUAGACAAUAACUCUAAGGAUUUUUUUUGUACAUAAUAACAGUUUGAAAA